GAUCUGACGCAGGUCGGUACUACAUUUCUGGAGGGGUCUGGAUUCCCCAUUGUUUUUUUUUUUUUGGAAGGUGGUUGAAUGUAUGGUUCGGCUGUGUAACUGGGAACACACACACACACACACACAAAGAGAGAAGUCCACUCCUUUCGUCCUUUCUUUUUCUUCUCCCCCAAAAGGCCCUGCAUGUCUAACAUUUAGACAUGUUUAGCUGUGUGGAUUCGAGGACUGUACUGCUACUUGUAGCAACCCAAGUCGUUCUAUUAGCUGUUGUCAAAUGUCAGGACGAAGACCAGGACGUAGGCAGCUGUAUGCAGGAUGGACAGAGCUAUAGUGACAAGGACGUAUGGAAACCAGAGCCGUGUCGUAUUUGUGUGUGCGACACGGGAACUGUCCUGUGUGAUGAAAUAAUCUGCGAGGAGAUUAAAGACUGCCCCAAACCUGAGAUCCCAUUCGGAGAGUGUUGCCCCAUCUGCGUGCGGGACGGGGAAGCACCCCCAAGUGCAAAUGGGACCCCCGGAGCUAAGGGUCAGAAAGGGGAACCAGGAGAAAUCACAGAUGUCGUAGGACCAAGAGGACCUGGAGGCCCUUUGGGCCCCCCAGGAGAGCAGGGACCACGUGGAGACAGAGGAGACAAAGGAGAUAAGGGCAGCCCCGGGCCCCGUGGCAGAGAUGGUGAGCCUGGUACCCCCGGUAACCCCCGGCCCCCCCGGACCUCCAGGACCUAAUGGACCCCCUGGCCUUGGAGGAAACUUUGCUGCUCAGAUGGCGGGAGGAUUCGACGAGAAGGCUGGCGGAGCACAGAUGGGCGUGAUGCAAGGACCAAUGGGGCCUAUGGGUCCUCGAGGACCACCUGGACCUUCUGGAGCUCCUGGCCCACAAGGUUUCCAAGGCAACCCCGGAGAGGCUGGAGAACCUGGAUCAGCUGGCUCGUUGGGUCCCCGUGGUCCACCCGGACCCUCUGGUAAACCUGGAGAUGAUGGUGAGGCUGGCAAACCUGGCAAAGGUGGUGAACGUGGACCUUCUGGUCCUCAGGGAGCUCGUGGAUUCCCAGGAACCCCCGGUCUGCCUGGAAUCAAGGGCCACAGAGGUUAUCCAGGUCUGGAUGGACUCAAGGGAGAGGGUGGAGCUGCUGGUUCCAAGGGUGAGUCUGGUGCUCCCGGUGAGAAUGGCGCUCCAGGACCAAUGGGACCACGCGGUCUGCCCGGUGAGAGAGGUCGUCCCGGACCCUCUGGUUCUGCUGGCGCUCGUGGUAAUGACGGUCUGUCUGGCCCUGCUGGUCCUCCUGGCCCAGUCGGUCCUGCUGGUGCUCCAGGCUUCCCCGGCUCUCCAGGUUCUAAGGGAGAAGCUGGCCCCACCGGUGCUCGUGGACCUGAGGGCGCUCAGGGACCCCGUGGAGAGUCAGGAACCCCUGGAUCUCCCGGACCCGCCGGCGCAUCUGGUAACCCUGGUACUGAUGGUAUUGGAGGAUCUAAAGGAUCAGCUGGUGCUCCUGGUAUCGCUGGCGCGCCUGGCUUCCCCGGGCCCCGUGGCCCUCCAGGACCCCAGGGAGCCACUGGACCUCUCGGACCAAAGGGAACAUCUGGUGACCCCGGUAUCCCAGGUUUCAAGGGUGAGGCUGGACCCAAGGGAGAGCUUGGACCAGCCGGUCCACAAGGAGCACUUGGCCCUGCAGGAGAGGAGGGGAAGAGGGGACCCAGAGGAGAGCCCGGCGCUGCUGGACCUCUUGGACCUCCCGGAGAGAGAGGUGCCCCCGGUAACCGUGGUUUCCCAGGUCAGGAUGGUCUGGCUGGUCCCAAGGGAGCCCCUGGCGAGCGUGGAGUCGGCGGCGUGUCCGGCCCUAAGGGAGCCGGCGGUGACCCUGGUCGCCCUGGCGAGCCCGGUCUUCCUGGCGCAAGAGGUCUUACUGGUCGUCCUGGAGAUACUGGUCCUCAAGGCAAAGUUGGACCUGGUGGUGCUGCUGGUGAGGAUGGUCGCCCCGGGCCCCCUGGCCCUAUGGGAGCCCGCGGUCAGCCUGGCGUGAUGGGAUUCCCCGGACCCAAGGGAGCUAACGGUGAGCCUGGGAAGGGAGGCGAAAAGGGGCUUCUUGGUGCCCCAGGUCUGAGGGGUCUUCCUGGAAAGGAUGGUGAGACUGGAGCUGCUGGACCACCUGGCCCUGCUGGCCCUGCUGGAGAAAGAGGAGAGCAAGGACAGCCUGGACCUUCUGGCUUCCAGGGUCUGCCCGGACCUCCCGGCCCACCUGGUGAGGGGGGAAAGCCCGGUGACAUGGGUGUUCCAGGAGAGGGUGGAGCUGCUGGUGCCACUGGACCCAGAGGUGAGCGUGGUUUCCCAGGAGAGAGAGGAGGUGCUGGGCCUCAGGGGCUGCAGGGACCUCGUGGUCUGCCUGGAACUCCUGGAACUGACGGACCCAAGGGAGCGAUUGGACCAGGUGGCGCAUCGGGUGCCCAGGGACCCCCCGGUCUGCAGGGUAUGCCCGGAGAGAGAGGGGCCUCAGGCAUCCCCGGACCUAAGGGAGACAGAGGUGACAACGGAGAGAAGGGACCUGAGGGUGCUUCUGGCAAAGAUGGCUCAAGAGGUUUGACUGGUCCCAUUGGUCCUCCCGGCCCAGCUGGUCCCAACGGAGAGAAGGGUGAAUCUGGUCCAUCUGGACCUUCCGGUGCUGCCGGUGCCCGUGGUGCUCCUGGAGACAGGGGUGAGACCGGACCUCCUGGGCCUGCUGGCUUCGCUGGGCCUCCUGGAUCUGAUGGUCAGCCCGGAGCCAAAGGAGAGCAGGGAGAGGGUGGUCAGAAGGGAGACGCUGGUGCCCCUGGACCCCAGGGACCCUCUGGAGCUCCUGGACCUUCCGGACCUACUGGUGUUUCUGGACCUAAAGGUGCUCGCGGUGCUCAGGGACCCCCUGGUGCCACUGGUUUCCCUGGUGCUGCCGGUAGAGUCGGGCCCCCUGGCCCCAACGGUAACCCUGGUGCUGCUGGUCCCUCUGGCCCUGCUGGUAAAGAUGGCCCUAAAGGUGUGCGUGGAGAUGGUGGACCCCCAGGCCGACAGGGAGAUGCUGGGCUGCGUGGAGCCGCUGGAUCCCCUGGAGAGAAGGGAGAUGCUGGAGAGGAUGGUCCCUCUGGUCCCGAUGGUCCUUCAGGUCCUUCAGGUCUGGCUGGACAGCGUGGUAUUGUUGGUCUUCCAGGACAGCGUGGAGAGAGAGGUUUCCCUGGCCUGCCAGGACCCUCUGGAGAGCCUGGUAAACAAGGAGCUCCUGGUGGAAGCGGAGACCGUGGGCCCCCUGGCCCAGUGGGACCCCCUGGACUGACUGGACCCGCUGGAGAGCCCGGGAGAGAGGGCAACGCUGGUUCUGAUGGACCACCUGGUAGAGAUGGAUCCACUGGAAUCAAGGGUGACCGUGGUAACACCGGUCCUGCUGGUGCUCCUGGCUCCCCAGGUGCUAAUGGUUCCCCCGGCCCUGUCGGCCCCACCGGCAAGCAGGGAGACAGGGGAGAGGCUGGAGCUCAAGGGCCCGCUGGACCUGCCGGGCCUGCUGGAGCCAGAGGAAUGGCUGGACCUCAAGGACCCCGUGGAGACAAGGGUGAGGCUGGAGAGGGUGGAGAGAGAGGACAGAAAGGACACAGAGGAUUCACUGGUCUGCAGGGUCUGCCCGGACCUCCCGGUCAAUCUGGAGACCAGGGUGCCUCUGGACCUGCCGGACCAAGUGGAUCAAGGGGACCUCCCGGACCUAUUGGUCCACAUGGAAAGGAUGGUUCCAAUGGUAUGCCCGGCCCCAUCGGACCCCCCGGACCCCGUGGUCGCUCUGGAGAGACUGGUCCCUCUGGUCCACCUGGAAACUCCGGUCCCCCUGGUCCUCCUGGUCCUCCCGGCCCUGGUAUCGACAUGUCUGCCUUCGCUGGUCUGUCUCAGCCUGAGAAAUCCCCCGAUCCCCUGAGGUACAUGAGGGCCGACCAGGCCUCCGGAAACCUGAGGACGCACGACGCCGAGGUGGACGCCACACUCAAGUCUCUCAACAACCAGAUUGAGAACAUCCGCUCCCCCGAGGGCUCCAAGAAGAACCCUGCACGUACUUGCAGAGACCUGAAGCUGUGCCACCCAGACUGGAAGAGCGGAGAGUACUGGAUCGACCCUAACCAGGGCUGCACCAUAGACGCCAUCAAGGUCUACUGUAACAUGGAGACCGGAGAGUCCUGUGUCUACCCCAAGCCCGCCAGCAUCCCCAAGAAGAACUGGUGGUCCAGCAAGAGCAAGGCUGCCAAACACAUCUGGUUCGGAGAGACCAUGAACGGAGGAUUCCACUUCAGCUAUGGCGAUGAGAGUCUGGCAGCCAACACGGCCAGCAUCCAGAUGACCUUCCUACGGCUGCUGUCCACCGAGGCUAGCCAGAACCUCACCUACCACUGCAAGAACAGCGUGGCCUAUCUGGACGGGGCCACGGGGAACCUGAAGAAGGCCGUGCUGCUCCAAGGCUCCAACGACGUGGAGAUCAGAGCUGAGGGCAACAGCCGCUUCACCUACACCGUUAUGGAGGACGGCUGCACGAAACAUAAAGGGACAUGGGGAAAGACAGUGAUUGAGUACAGAUCCCAGAAGACCAGCCGGCUGCCCAUCGUGGACAUCGCUCCUGUGGAUAUUGGAGGAGCGGACCAAGAGUUUGGUGUUGACGUCGGCGCAGUUUGCUUCUUGUAAAGAAAGAGGGAUGAAAAGAAGGAGAAGUAGAGGGGAAAAACACAUGAAAUAUGAGAGAGAGGAACACACGCUUCUAUCAGAAAAAGGAAGAAUGAAAGAAAGAAUAGAGAAAGAUCAAGACACUUUUAUGUAUUUUUUUUUUUUGUUUAAGUAGAAAGUGCUUUUUCCAACUAAGUCCUGCACUGAAUGGCACCGGCAAUAUUCAUCUGGGAUUUCGUGGCCUUCCAGUCUCCCUCCAUCAGACCCCCCUCCCAUGGUGCCCCAGCCCUCCCUCCACCCCCCACCCUGGGAGCACCACCCCACUAACAAGAAGGAUCGAGGAGAAGAGGAGAAAAGGGAGAAAGAGGAGAAAGAGGCAGCGUGCCAAACAAUGAGUUGGUGUUAUUUAUUUAUUGUUCAGGUGUGGGUCCCAGGUGUGUUAGGACUGAGUGUGUGUAGCCUAUAAAAAGGCCCCACCCACAACAACAUACAUAUUCUAUCAGUUCCCCCUUUUCAUGUUCCUCCUCCAUACCUCCACACCCUAAAUAUUAUAUCAAUUCCAAACCAAAAAAAUCUGCCAGUGUGAUAAGUGCAGGUGUUCCUAGUUCCAACCGCCGCCCCAGUGUGUAUCAGGAAGUUACUGUGUAUUAUAAUAAAGUCAAAUGGUGCUAUUGUUGUAAAACAAGUCUGUAUUCCUUAACAACCAGAUACUAAUGUAUUAGUGACAUGUUUAUAAUGUGUGUACAUAUAUGUAUAUGUGUGUAUACAUAUAUAUAUAUAUAUAUAUAUGCAUUUUUCAGAGAGUACAUUUUUCAGAGUGGUAAAUGUUGCUUCCCCUCCCUCAAACCCAACCCUGACCCUUCUCCGUGGUAACCCAAUGACACAAAAACCAUGUCCAUAAUAUAUUUUGUAAAGAGACAUGUUCAAUUCGGAAUCAAUCCGAGCUCUACAUUUAUUUAGUUUUAAUGAUAAUAUUUUAAGCUACCUCACACACACACACAAAGAAAGAAACAACAGAGCAAAGUUAAAUCCUGUAUCCAAGUUUACAAACCCAGCUUUGGCAAUCUUCUCUUUGGUGCAUUAGACCCCAUGUUGUGAGAAGCCCACCAGAAGUUGACUUUGACCGUUGACCUAUCCCACUCCACUUCCUCCCAUAAACCCCCUGUUGUCCCCUCACACAGGAAGUACCUUCUACCCUGGUAGGAAGUACCUCGGCCCUGGCCAUGCCCCUCUAGGAUCAGGAACGGGAUAUGUCUUUUUGACUUGAUAUCACAACUGGACAAUCCAGCCCUCAUUUACACACAGGGGGAAAGCACCACGACCAGGGCAGAGGGUGUUCGUUUGUGAGGGGGUAGUAAAUAUAUAUAUUUUUAUAUUAAUGAUAAUAGUAAUAUUGUUAAUAAUAACAUCAUUACUAUUUUUAUUAUUAUUAUUAAAUAUGAUGAUCAUGAUUUUGUUUUUGUUACGGUUCUGAUUCAUGUAAAUUGGAAAUAAAAGAAAAAAAAUAUUAACAGGCUGAAGUCGCUUUUUAUUUUAUAGAUUUUUGUUGUUGUUGUUGUUGUUGGUGGUUUUUUGGGUUGUUAUUCACCCCCCAUAAUGCUCCAGAGAAGAGUGUGUGUGGGGUUGGGUGCUGUGGUGGUGUGGGUGUUUUUUGGGGUUGUUAUUCACCCCCCAUAAUGCUCCAGAGAAGAGUGUGUGUGGGGUUGGGUGCUGUGGUGGUGUGGGUGUUUUUUGGGGUUGUUAUUCACCCCCCAUAAUGCUCCAGAGAAGAGUGUGUGUGGGGUUGGGUGCUGUGGUAGUGUGGGUGUUUUUUGGGUUGUUAUUCCCCCCCCCAUAAUGCUCCAGAGAAGAGUGUGUGUGGGGUUGGGUGCUGUGGUGGGUUGGGUGUUUUUGGGGUUGUUAUUCACCCCCCAUAAUGCUCCAGAGAAGAGUGUGUGUGGGGUUGGGUGCUGUGGUGGUGUGGGUGUUUUUUGGGGUUGUUAUUCACCCCCCAUAAUGCUCCAGAGAAGAGUGUGUGUGGGGUUGGGUGCUGUGGUGGUGUGGGUGUUUUUUGGGGUUGUUAUUCACCCCCCAUAAUGCUCCAGAGAAGAGUGUGUGUGGGGUUGGGUGCUGUGGUGGUGUGGGUGUUUUUUGGGGUUGUUAUUCACCCCCCAUAAUGCUCCAGAGAAGAAGUAAAACAUAUCUGGGAAGAUUAUUUGUUUCUGAAACCUGAAAGUAUGAUUGAACUUUGUUGUUGUUGUUGUUGUUGUUGUUGACGGUAUUAUAUUCCCAGAGAUAGAAGCCGUACCAAAUCUAGAUCCUGUGUCCUGUAUGGGUCUUUCCGUUGGUCUGUGUGUUUGAGCUAAAUGCAUAUCGAGGGGUGGAAUGUAGUCAGAACACACAAGGAGAGACCAUGGAUCACAAGUGGGUGGUACCCCACUUUAUGUGUUGUUUUCUUCAUCGGAGAGAGUAUGUGUGAGGAGGUGCGAAGUUCAUAUCAUGUACUAUUUUGUAAAAUGUAAAAACCUUUUUUUCAAUAUUUUCAGAUAGUUUUUUAAGCAUGCUAGAUAAGAGAAGGGAAACAUUUCCAAAUGUUAGUAACUGUAUGAACUGAUUGUCAUCCUGUCUUUACACUUUUUUCCCUUUUCUUUCCUGACCUUUCACCUUUCACCUUUCACCGUAGCAAUAAAAGGUAGAAGCAUUUCUCUCAACAACACGUUUAUUUUAUAUAUAUAUAUAUUUUAUUUUCCCCGUAAUUUGGUUUUAAAGUUCAUUUAUUAUUUGAUAUAUUGGUUCCCGAAUCUACGAUGUCGUCGUCUUUGUUUAGAAUAAUGAUUGACAUUUAAAACAACAGGAGAAAAAAAAACAAAAUCAGCAAGACGAAAAUACAUCACAAAUAAACCCCGUUGUAAAAAUGA